ensembl:rRNA 5S_rRNA 5S ribosomal RNA
GCUUACGGCCAUACCACCCUGAACACGCCCGAUCUCGUCUGAUCUCGGAAGCUAGCAGGGUCGGGCCUGGUCAGUACUUGGAUGGGAGACCGCCUGGGAAUACCAGGUGCUGUAAGCU